UCCAACGUUAAUCGGGGCAGGGUGAGUCGACCCCUAAGGCGAGGCUGAAAAGCGUAGUCGAUGGGAAACAGGUUAAUAUUCCUGUACUUGGUGUUACUGCGAAGGGGGGACGGAGAAGGCUAGGCUAGCCGGGCGACGGUUGUCCCGGUUUAAGCGUGUAGGGGGUGUGACCUGGUAAAUCCGGUUACAUAUCAACCCUGAGGCGUGAUGACGAUGCACUACGGUGCAGAAGUAGUUGAUGCCCUGCUUCCAGGAAAAGCCUCUAAGCUCUAGGUAACAUUGAAUCGUACCCCAAACCGACACAGGUGGUCAGGUAGAGAAUACCAAGGCGCUUGAGAGAACUCGGGUGAAGGAACUAGGCAAAAUGGUGCCGUAACUUCGGGAGAAGGCACGCUGGCAUGUAGGUGAAGUCCCUUGCGGAUGGAGCUGAAGCCAGUCGAAGAUACCAGCUGGCUGC
rnacentral:rRNA from 1 species